CACACACAAAAAAAAAAAAAAUAAAUAAAUAAAUAAACACGCUAGACAUUGCCCCAACAAAGAUUUUAUGGGCCUAGUGAUAGUUUGACAAGGCUUUGGUAGAGGCUGUGUUAGUAGUGUUGCCAUGGGUAGUGUUAUGGGCCUAGUGAUAGUUUGACAAGGCUUUGGUAGAGGUUGUGUUAGUAGUAUUGCCAUGGGUAGUGUUAUGGGCCUAGUGAUAGUUUGACAAGGCUUUGGUAGAGGUUGUGUUAGUAGUAUUGCCAUGGGUAGUGUUAUGAGCCUAGUGAUAGUUUGACAAGGCUUUGGUAGAGGUUGUGUUAGUAGUAUUGCCAUGGGUAGUGUUAUGGGCCUAGUGGUAGUUUGACAAGGCUUUGGUAGAGGUUGUGUUAGUAGUAUUGCCAUGGGUAGUGUUAUGGGCCUAGUGAUAGUUUGACAAGGCUUUGGUAGAGGCUGUGUUAGUAGUAUUGCCAUGGGUAGUGUUAUGGGCCUAGUGAUAGUUUGACAAGGCUUUGGUAGAGGUUGUGUUAGUAGUAUUGCCAUGGGUAGUGUUAUGGGCCUAGUGGUAGUUUGACAAGGCUUUGGUAGAGGUUGUGUUAGUAGUAUUGCCAUGGGUAGUGUUAUGGGCCUAGUGAUAGUUUGACAAGGCUUUGGUAGAGGUUGUGUUAGUAGUAUUGCCAUGGGUAGUGUUAUGAGCCUAGUGAUAGUUUGACAAGGCUUUGGUAGAGGUUGUGUUAGUAGUAUUGCCAUGGGUAGUGUUGUGAGCCUAGUGAUAGUUUGACAAGGCUUUGGUAGAGGUUGUGUUAGUAGUAUUGCCAUGGGUAGUGUUAUGAGCCUAGUGAUAGUUUGACAAGGCUUUGGUAGAGGUUGUGUUAGUAGUAUUGCCAUGGGUAGUGUUAUGAGCCUAGUGAUAGUUUGACAAGGCUUUGGUAGAGGUUGUGUUAGUAGUAUUGCCAUGGGUAGUGUUAUGGGCCUAGUGGAAAUUUGACAAGGCUUUGGUAGAGGUUGUGUUAGUAGUAUUGCCAUGCGUAGUGUUAUGGGCCUAGUGAUAGUUUGACAAGAGAUAGAUAGAUAGAUAGAUAGAUAGAUAGAUAGAUAGAUAGAUAGAUACAGAUAGAAUGAAAGAAGAAAUGACGAAAAGGAGGAG